GAUGAACGCUGGCGGCGUGCCUAAUACAUGCAAGUCGAGCGAACGGACGAGAAGCUUGCUUCUCUGAUGUUAGCGGCGGACGGGUGAGUAACACGUGGAUAACCUACCUAUAAGACUGGGAUAACUUCGGGAAACCGGAGCUAAUACCGGAUAAUAUUUUGAACCGCAUGGUUCAAAAGUGAAAGACGGUCUUGCUGUCACUUAUAGAUGGAUCCGCGCUGCAUUAGCUAGUUGGUAAGGUAACGGCUUACCAAGGCAACGAUGCAUAGCCGACCUGAGAGGGUGAUCGGCCACACUGGAACUGAGACACGGUCCAGACUCCUACGGGAGGCAGCAGUAGGGAAUCUUCCGCAAUGGGCGAAAGCCUGACGGAGCAACGCCGCGUGAGUGAUGAAGGUCUUCGGAUCGUAAAACUCUGUUAUUAGGGAAGAACAUAUGUGUAAGUAACUGUGCACAUCUUGACGGUACCUAAUCAGAAAGCCACGGCUAACUACGUGCCAGCAGCCGCGGUAAUACGUAGGUGGCAAGCGUUAUCCGGAAUUAUUGGGCGUAAAGCGCGCGUAGGCGGUUUUUUAAGUCUGAUGUGAAAGCCCACGGCUCAACCGUGGAGGGUCAUUAGAAACUGGAAAACUUGAGUGCAGAAGAGGAAAGUGGAAUUCCAUGUGUAGCGGUGAAAUGCGCAGAGAUAUGGAGGAACACCAGUGGCGAAGGCGACUUUCUGGUCUGUAACUGACGCUGAUGUGCGAAAGCGUGGGGAUCAAACAGGAUUAGAUACCCUGGUAGUCCGCGCCGUAAACGAUGAGUGCUAAGUGUUAGGGGGUUUCCGCCCCUUAGUGCUGCAGCUAACGCAUUAAGCACUCCGCCUGGGGAGUACGACCGCAAGGUUGAAACUCAAAGGAAUUGACGGGGACCCGCACAAGCGGUGGAGCAUGUGGUUUAAUUCGAAGCAACGCGAAGAACCUUACCAAAUCUUGACAUCCUUUGACAACUCUAGAGAUAGAGCUUUCCCCUUCGGGGGACAAAGUGACAGGUGGUGCAUAGUUGUCGUCAGCUCGUGUCGUGAGAUGUUGGGUUAAGUCCCGCAACGAGCGCAACCCUUAAGCUUAGUUGCCAUCAUUAAGUUGGGCACUCUAAGUUGACUGCCGGUGACAAACCGGAGGAAGGUGGGGAUGACGUCAAAUCAUCAUGCCCCUUAUGAUUUGGGCUACACACGUGCUACAAUGGACAAUACAAAGGGCAGCGAAACCGUGAGGUCAAGCAAAUCCCAUAAAGUUGUUCUCAGUUCGGAUUGUAGUCUGCAACUCGACUACAUGAAGCUGGAAUCGCUAGUAAUCGUAGAUCAGCAUGCUACGGUGAAUACGUUCCCGGGUCU
rnacentral:rRNA from 1 species